rnacentral:tRNA from 1 species
GCCUUUGUAGCUCAGUCGGCAGAGCGCAUCCUUGGUAAGGAUGAGGUCAGCGGUUCAAUCCCGCUCAAAGGCUCCA